UACGUAGGAGGCAAGCGUUUGUCCGGAAUUACUGGGCGUAAAGCGCGUGUAGGUGGUGGGACAAGUCUGCUGUGAAAGCGCCUGGCUUAACCGGGCGAGGUCGGCGGAAACUGUUCGACUCGAGGACGGUAGAGGGGGGUGGAAUUCCCGGUGUAGUGGUGAAAUGCGUAGAGAUCGGGAGGAACACCUGUGGCGAAGGCGGCCCCCUGGGCCGGCCCUGACACUGAGACGCGAAAGCGUGGGAAGCAAACAGG
rnacentral:rRNA from 1 species